rnacentral:sRNA from 1 species
UUUAAUGGUAUAGAUUUUAAAAACCUCACUUCCAGAGUAUUCAACAAUUUGAAAAACUUACAGACAUUAAAUUUUACCAGGACCAAUGUAGAGGAUCUCUCUUUCCUAAGAUCUGAAAAUCUUCAAAAGAGCUUGCUGAAUGUUGUUCUGGAAGUCAAUCAAAAGGUGGAUAUGAAAUAUUUCGAGGGCUAUUCCAGGUUAAAGUUGAUUCAAGUUGAUAAAUACGAACCCCAUGAGAAUAUAACAGCAAUAAUUUGCAACUUAAACCGACGGAAUUGCAAAUUUACCCUCGGAAUCAACGGAAUAAAGUGCCCUGCUAAAUGCGA